ensembl:lncRNA
UAAACCUCGAUAGAAUCAAAGCAUACAUUUGUAAAAACAUUGCUUGAAUCUACUUGGCAUACCUCAACAAGCAUAUUGUAUCUAAGGUGUGUCAAGAACAUUGAGCAUCACGCAAUCCACCCUUUAGCCAGAAUAGAUUCCAACCCUACGCUCGCUUACAACUGCACUGGGGUCGGACAGGCUGGGGUCGGACGACUCGUUCAAUCUUCUCGGAUCCUGUCCGACCCCAGUGCAGCUGUAAGCAAGCAUAGGGUCAGAAUCUAUUCUGGCUAUCCACCCUUUAACAUCUGAAAGACGUCUUUUAAGUCUGAGCUCAAUGUCGGUCUACACUUUUACUGGAAAAGGAUGAAAGGGUAUAAAAGACAGGUGCGCUGGAGUCAGAGCAGAUACCCACCAGCUGCAACCUGUUCCAUAAUCAAGACCUCUACAAAUACUCAGCCCUGCCACUUCCAUGCUGCCAGAUCGUAAUCUCUGCUCAUUCUGCCCGCUCUGACUCUGGUCCCUGUCUCCAGUCCCACGUCUCGUCAUCCUGCUACUCUGUCCUGGAUUCCCCACACUACCCUGUCUCAACCCCUCUCGCUCCAACCUCAGCCUCCGCACCUGGUUUCCAGCGACCCGCCCGAGCUUCCCCUGACCUGCACUACAUCUCCCCC